rnacentral:sRNA from 1 species
AGUGGAAAAUAAAGGGGGGGACCCUCUGGAAGGUUCCAGGCUUAUGCUGUCCCUUCCCCCUGCAGGUCCUGGGCUGAAGAGAUGGGGGGCAGCCGCUGUGGGCCUGGGGCUCACCCUGUUCACCUGUGGCCCCCACACUUUGCAUUCUCUGGUCACCAUCCUCGGGACCUGGGCCCUCAUUCAGGCCCAGCCCUGCUCCUGCCACGCCCUGGCUCUGGCCUGGACUUUCUCCUAUCUCCUGUUCUUCCGAGCCCUCAGCCUCCUGGGCCUGCCCACUCCCACGCCCUUCACCAAUGCCGUCCAGCUGCUGCUGACACUGAAGCUGGUGAGCCUGGCCAGUGAAGUCCAGGACCUGCACCUGGCUCAGAGGAAGGAAAUGGCCUCAGGCUUCAGCAAGGGGCCCACCCUGGGGCUGCUGCCCGACGUGCCCUCCUUGAUGGAGACGCUCAGCUACAGCUACUGCUACGUGGGAAUCAUGACAGGCCCGUUCUU